rnacentral:rRNA from 1 species
GACAGAGGCGCCGAGCGUUAGGCGGAAUCACUGGGCUUAAAGCGUGUGUAGGCGGAUCGUUAAGUGCCUUGUGAAAUCCCACGGCUCACCCGUGGAACUGCUGGGCAUACUGGCGGUCUUGAGCCACCUAGGGGCAACCGGAACAAACGGUGGAGCGGUGAAAUGCGUAGAUAUCGUUUGGAACGCCAAUGGUGAAAACAGGUUGCUGGGGGUGUGCUGACGCUGAGACACGAAAGCCAGGGGAGCAAACGGG